CCAAUAUCUAUAAGCAUUGAUAUUGAUAUUGUUGAUUCUAAGGAGGCUACAAGACUGUGACUCGGAAUGUACAACUCAAUGGGACUGGUAGUGACUCUUCCACAACUAUAAGUGAACGCAGAUCAGGGGAUUCUGGUAAUGGUACCACACCAACACUAUUAUAUGAAGGUCUCAGCGGCAAGACUCUCCCCAUACAAUUUGACAUUACUACUGCUAUCGCACGGCCAGCCGAAACAAACUUGGUUGACCUGGAGAAUGCGUCCUUUGGACGGAGCAACACAAAAUCAGCGUCUGCUCCUGGUCCAGCGAAAUAGGACACGUCCUUCGGCUGCUCGAAAAAACGACCUAGAGAUUGACAAAGCAUUUCAAGUCUAACCAUAUCAUGGGAGAACACCGCACCAAAAGAGAUUUAGAUACUGCAAAUAAACUUGCAAUGUAGUAAAAUUAGAUAUAAUCCUUCUUUUACCUUGAACGGAAGCAAAAUGCAAUAAUACUGUUUUUUU